rnacentral:misc_RNA from 1 species
AUGAUAUGACAGAUCCAGGUAGCAGGCCUCAAUCAUUUGAUCAGAGAGGCCUUUUGUGUGAUCCACUUGAGCGUGGAGGACUCUUUCCAAUUAGAAAAUCGCAAGAUGCAGCUGUUGGUGCUCUUGUACGAAUGCUGAAGAAAGCACCUCCUCUGCGCCAAGACUUCUCCAGUUCAGUUGAUUUGUUGCAAGACUCCAGGUCUAAAAUGCCUAGAUGCAGCAUCCAAGAGCAUAUUCAGAUAUCUGAGGCACCUGUUAUUCAGCAGGCUUCUUCAAGUAAUGCAUCCCCAAGGCUUGUUGCAUCAAAAACAACGGCUGAUGCAUUGGAAGAGCUUCGGGCUUACAAAGAGAUGAUGAAAGAAUUGUUGCUUACUCAAGCAGGUAGGUCCAAUACAUCAGCUAAUCAUACUUCUAUGCAAAAGCCUGAAACUAGCAGUGCAACUGGUUGAACUAAUGUUGAUACUUGCACAUAUGUACAGCAUAAUGGUUUAUGAGUUUCAUGGGAUACGAAUGUUUUAUUACCACCCAUUUCUUCUGUAUAUAUGAGGUGAUAUGAAAUGAUGAUGAGUGAAGGCUCAUACAAAAUCGAAAGGGUUAUAGCCGACUUUAAUCCCCUUAACUUUUGUCGGUAACUGCUUAAAAUGUUGAGAGCUUGGCUUCUGCGCCUUGCAUCAAUGAUCUAUUUCUUUUUUUAUGCUGUUCAUAUUUUUUCAUUCAAAAACAGACAAAAG